GUUUAUGUUUGAGUCAACAAUGGCUAAAAGCCGCUUGAAGACCCUGUCUGAAUUAAGGCGUGUAAGAGUUGACAGCCAGACUUUGAUGGUGUAUCGCUGUGGAAAGUGGGUGAAACUCUCUGGAACUGAACUGUUACCUGGAGAUGUUGUGUCUGUCGGGCGCUCUGUAGGUCAAAAUGGAGAAGACAAGUCUGUACCUGCUGACAUGCUUUUGCUAGCUGGAACUGCUAUUGUGAAUGAGGCUAUUCUGACAGGCGAAUCAACCCCACAAUGGAAGGUUUCAAUCAUGGGUAGAGGAAUUGGGGAGACAUUGUCUGCAAAGCGAGAUAAAGCCCAUGUCCUUUUUGGUGGAACCAAAAUUUUGCAGCAUACACCUGAUAAGAGCUAUCCAAUGAAGACCCCUGAUGGUGGAUGUUUAGCUGUUGUUCUACGAACUGGGUUCGAAACAAGUCAAGGCAAACUUAUGCGGACUAUUUUAUUUUCCACAGAGAGGGUUACUGCUAACAGCUGGGAAAGUGGUUUUUUUAUUCUUUUCUUGGUUGUUUUUGCCGUAAUCGCAGCGGGAUAUGUUCUUAAAAAGGGGCUAGAGGACCCAACAAGAAGUAAAUACAAGCUGUUCCUCAGUUGUUCAUUGAUAAUUACUUCAGUUAUCCCUCCAGAGCUGCCAAUGGAGUUAUCAAUAGCUGUUAAUACAUCUUUAAUUGCUCUAGCACGACGAGGGAUAUUCUGCACAGAACCUUUCCGGAUCCCAUUUGCUGGAAAGGUUGAUAUUUGUUGCUUCGACAAGACUGGAACCUUGACAUCUGAUGACAUGGAGUUCUCAGGGGUUGGUGGAUUGACUGACAGUGAGGACUUAGAAAGAGAAAUGACUACAGUUCCAUCUCGUACUCUGGAAAUUCUUGCCUCUUGUCAUUCUUUGGUUUUUGUGGACAAUAAGCUGGUGGGUGAUCCUCUUGAGAAGGCUGCA
rnacentral:misc_RNA from 1 species